AUUAUGAUCUCAUCCCAUGAAAUAAUUUUACCUUUCUUUGUUAUUUGAUUGUUGCCUAUGAACAUUUUGUGUGCUUCCAGUUAAUUGAUCUUUAGGAGAGUCAUUCUAGAUUUAUUGUCCCAUAACAAUCUUUAGCUAAUAUAUUACUGGUUUUCUUUUGGGUUGGCAGACCACACUUUUGGAUUACAUCAGGAAAAGCAAGGUGGCAGCAUCUGAAGCAGGUGGAAUUACUCAAGGCAUGGGGGCAUACAAGGUACAAGUACCUUUUGAUGGCAAGCCACAGACUUGUGUUUUCCUUGACACCCCUGGACAUGAGGCAUUUCGAGCAAUGAGAGCUCGUGGAGCCAGAGUAAUAGACAUUGCUGUUAUUGUAGUUGCUACUGAUGAUGGAAUUCGACCUCAAACAAAAGAGGCUAUUGCUCAUGCCAAAGCAGUUGGAGUGCGAAUUGUUAUUGCUAUAAACAAAGUGCGCUUGCAUUUAUUCUGAGAUUUUCCACUGUGUGUUGGCUUGUAUAUCAUUUAGUCUCAUUUGCAUUCUGCUUUUGAUGUAUGAAACAUGAUGACAAAUCUCCUCUUGCUUAUGGGAGUUGGCAUUUUCAGUUCUCAUAAUCACAGUACUGCUCAAGUUUGAUGUUUCUA